GACGAACGCUGGCGGCGUGCUUAACACAUGCAAGUCGAACGGAAAGGCCCUGCUUAGGUGGGGUGCUCGGAUGACGAACGGGGGAGUAACACGUGGGUAAGCUGCCAUUGACUGUGGGAUAACUUCAGGAAACUGGGGCUAAUACCGGAUAGGAGCUCCUGCUGCAUGGUGGGGGUUGGAAAGUUUCGGCGGUUGGGGAUGGACUCGCGGCUUAUCAGCUUGAUGGUGUGGUAGUGGCUGAGCAAGGCUUGGAAGGGUAGCCGGCCUGCGAGGGUGACCGGCCACAUUGGGACUGAGCUACGGCCCAGACUCCUACGGGAGGCAGCAGAGGGGAAUAUUGCACUGUGGGCGGAAGCCUGAUGCAGCAACGCCGCGUGCGGGAUGACGGCCUUCGGGUUGUAUUCCGCUUUCGCCUGUGACGAAGCGUGAGUGACGGUAAUGGGUAAAGAAGCACCGGCUAACUACGUG
rnacentral:rRNA from 1 species